CCUUCUCUCUUUCUCACAAUGCCUGGUUUCUUCAUACAGAUUGCACAGCCAUCACAGUCUCUUUAAACCUCCACAUAAAGGGAUGUGUCUCCAUAGUGGUGGAAAUUAGCCUACGGAAAAUAGAGCACCAGACAAGACUUUUGCUGCUCUCAGAGAGAGGUUACCAAAGUGAAGGCAAUUUAGGCUUACCAGGAAUCCUAUUCAGGAGAAGCCAGUUGCUCCUUCAUUAUGGAGGUCCUGAGACUCUAUGAGCAUGCACAAGAACAUCUACAUAUGGGAUGAGUUCCACUUUCAAACUGUUCAGCCGUUUUGCAAGGAACACAGCCAUGUCUGUCCCCUCUUCUUACUCUGGGACCCCCAUCCAGCUCAGAUUCUGUCCCUUGAUCCCAAUUUGAAUAAUCCUCAAGGAAACACUGUAAACCUCAGGCAGCUUACUUUAGCUGUUUAACGGCACUUGGAUUGCCCAGAUCCGGAUUCAUUGCUGAGUUGGCUGUUUUCGUUAGAUCAUGAAGCUAAGGCUCCAAUACUUUGGCCACCUCAUGAGAAGAGAAGACUCCCUGGAAAAGACCCUGAUGUUGGGAAAGAUGGAGGGCACUAGGAGAAGGGGACGGCAGAGGACGAGAUGGUUGGACAGUGUUCUCGAAGCUACGAACAUGAGUUUGACCAAACUGCGGGAGGCAGUGCAAGACAGGAGUGCCUGGCGUGCUAUGGUCCAUGGGGUCACGAAGAGUCGGACACGACUAAACGACUAAACAACAACAACAACAAUAUGUUUAUUGCCUGAAAGCAGAUCAACCAAGGUACUCACUUGUCUUUCCAAUGUUCCUGAUUACUUCACAAAUGUUUUGUGUAAAUAUAGGGAUGAUGGGCUAAAAGAAUAAAAUAAAAAAUCAAAAUCAAAAGGAAGCUGAUAACUGGAGCAUUACUUCACCUCAACCGCCCCACCUUUAUUUUGGUUAAGGAUAGGAAUAAUGCUCCGCACCUGGCAUUACAAUGACAAGCCAGACGUAAUUGACUUCAAAUUGCACAUGCAGAUUUUCAAGAAUUGAAGGGGGGAAGCUAUUUUUCUUUUUAAAUAUAAUUGAGAUCAAUAGCUUAAAAAAAAGGGUGGGAAAUACUUGGAACUCCAGAUAUCAUUUGACCCCCCAAACAUUUGCCAUCGUCAAUCAUUUAGGAUGCUAGAUCAAGAAUGUCAGCACAUUAUGACUUAUCUAGGAUAAUUGUGAAGGCAAUGCAAAUUGCCCAAAGAUCACUCACCACUUUUGCCUCCAAAGCUAUCUGAGCGAAACCUGUGCGGUUACCCCACAUUAAGCUGUAGUCA